GACUUUUUAACAUGAACACAAGAUCUCUCUCAUAGUCAUUUCUUCACACCAACAUACAUGAUAAAAAACAAAAACUCUCUUAAAUGAAGAAAUGACAUAUGUGGAAAUUUGACAGUGGCAGAUGCUGAAUGUGGUGGAGAAUGGAAAAACGCAACAAACUGGUUCAGGUCUUAUUCAUCUUCCUCAUUCAAUGUAUAAUAGCAUCAAAGGAUGAAGGGUUAGUAAAUGCUACCAGUUUGUGGGGGAAGAAGAUAGAUUUCAUGCAGAAGGACUGUAGUUUCUGGUUGCUGAAAAAUGAACGCAAAAUUCCUUCCUUGAAUGAGCUCAGUGUGUGUGUGAACAUAAAGAGGAAGCUCAGCAAUUCAUACUGGACCGCGUUCACGUAUCUGCACCCUAAUAAGACACGCAUAGAGCUUGGGCUGAAGGGAUUUGGAACAGAACUCCAUGUCAUAAUGUUUGGGAGAGUCUGGACCAAAUCUUCAGUGGUGUCCUUGGACAACUGGCAUUCAAUAUGCAUGACCUGGUCCAACUCCAUGACUGAGCCAAAAGUCUACAUCAAUGGAACCAAAGUAGAAUUAAAACCACAGUCUAAAGGAACGGCUCUGCAUCCUAACUGCUGUAGCGUGGCCGCCGGUGGCACUCUGACUUUAGCUGUGGCCCACAAUUUUGUGAAGAACAAGAUAAGCAUCGAGACGGGCACUGAACUGAAGGGCAGCUUAAGUCUAUUCAGGGUGUGGAAACGAGCACGCAGCGCUCAAGACAUAUCCACGAUGGCCUGCACUGAUGGGGAUAUGCUGCAUUGGGAGAAACGAAUCUGGAACAAAGCCGAAGACUGUAAGCCUAUACAAGACCUUACGCAAAAGUGCGACUGGCCUUUUUAUGAAGUAAAAUUAGUGCUUAUCAUCAUUCGUGAGGAUGGAAACAAAACAAACAUUUACGAUGCCCGAGAAGUUGCUCAUCAGUGGGUAAGCUAUAGAAAACACACUUUGAAUUUUUACUGCUGCUAG
ensembl:lncRNA